UGGGUCGAUGGGGUGAACCCUUAUAUGUAUGUGAGCCUUGGACAUCAGGUUCUGAAAUGCCACCAUGGUACAGACAAGAAUAAGAAGAGAAAACUGGAAAAGGAGAAGGUAUUGGACAGAAAAAUGACAAAGACAGUUAGCAGUGAGCAACAUUCAUAUGCUAAAUAGAAAACAAGGCAUGCAGUGCAGCUCUCCAAAAAAUUGGACUGUCCUGCUUCUAUCAUUCUGAAGGAAGUGUUGAUAUUCACCCCUGAAGAGGGUUCAUCAAGCGAGCUGGACAAAAAAAUGGCUGCUUCUAAUGUGAGGAGUGAUCUGAGUAAAGGCAUCAAGAAGAUAAUGGUGGUGUUUCCUAACAUCGAACACAAGUACCAUACAAGUGGAGAGAACGCUGGGCUGUUGCAACGUAUCGACAGUGAUGUUGCCUCAAAAAUUAAAGAACUUGUGGUGGAAGAGGGCGUUGCAAAUGUUGAAGAAAUGCAACGCCAUCUGACCUCAUUUGUUAUGAAGAAUGUAACACCUGCUCCAUCAAGAACUAAAAGGAGAUUUGCCCCUACAAAAAAGUGAUCAGAUAUCACAUGAAUAAGGCAGCAAAGAAGGGUUGUGAUAGCAAUGAUGACCAACACAACUUAGUUCAGCUUGUGAGUGUGCUUAGUGUGUAAUUAACAGUUACUUCAAUACAGAUAUAUAUUUAUCACAUGCCAUACCCUGCUUCCCCUUGUAAUAUAACCAUUACGAAUAUUUUUAUCUUACACAUGUGUAAUAUACUUUUUAAGGAUUUUCAUCGGCUUAUUU